rnacentral:rRNA from 1 species
CCUACGGGUGGCAGCAGUGAGGAAUAUUGGUCAAUGGGCGCGAGCCUGAACCAGCCAAGUAGCGUGAAGGAUGACUGCCCUACGGGUUGUAAACUUCUUUUAUAAAGGAAUAAAGUGAGGCACGUGUGCCUUUUUGUAUGUACUUUAUGAAUAAGGCUCGGCUAACUCCGUGCCAACCGCCGGGGUAAUACGGAGGAUCCGAGCGUUAUCCGGAUUUAUUGGGGUUAAAGGGAGCGUAGAGGGGUUUUUAAGGUAGGUGUGAAAGUGUGCGGCUCAACCGUGAGAUUGCAGUUGAUACUGGGGGUCUUGAGUACAGUUGAGGUAGGCGGAAUUCGUGGUGUAGCGGUGAAAUGCUUAGAUAUCACGAAGAACUCCGAUUGCGAAGGCAGCCUACUAACCUGCCACUGACAUUGAUGCUCGAAAGUGUGGGUAUCAAACAGGAUUAGAUACCCCAGUAGUC